GACGAACGCUGGCGGCGUGCCUAAUACAUGCAAGUCGAACGCAGUGGGGACGGGUGAGUAACACGUGGGUAACCUCCCAUCAGAGGGGAUAACACUUGGAAACAGGUUCUAAACCGAUAUUGAUUGAUGGACCCGCGGUGCAGUAGCUAGUUGGUGGGGUAACGGCUCACCAAGGCCACGAUGCAUAGCCGCCCUGAAAGGGUGAUCGGCCACACUGGGACUGAGCCACGGCCCAGACUCCUACGGAAGGCAGCAGUAGGGAAUUUGCGGCAAUGGACGAAAGUCUGACCGGGCAACGCCGCGUGAGUGAAGAGGUUUUUCGGAUCGUAAAACUCUGUUGUUAGAGAAGCGGUAUCUAACCAGAAAGCCACGGCUAACUCCGUGCCAGCAGCCGCGGUAAUAC
rnacentral:rRNA from 1 species